AGAGUUUGAUGGUGGCUCAGAGNGAACGCUGGCGGCGUGCCUAACACAUGCAAGUCGAACGAGAACGGGUUUAGUUUACUAAACUGUCAGCUAAGUGGCGCACGGGUGAGUAAUGUAUAGUUAACCUGCCCUCUAGAAAGGAAUAACAGUUGGAAACGACUGCUAAUGCCCUAUAUGCCCAUAAUACAUAAGUAUGCUGGGGAAACGCUUUAGUGCUAGAGGAUGGGACUGUAUGGUAUCAGAUAGUUGGUGAGGUAAUGGCUCACCAAGUCAAUGACGCCUAACUGGUUUGAGAGGAUGAUCAGUCACACUGGAACUGAGACACGGUCCAGACUCCUACGGGAGGCAGCAGUGGGGAAUAUUGCACAAUGGAGGAAACUCUGAUGCAGCAACGCCGCGUGGAGGAUGACACUUUUCGGAGCGUAAACUCCUUUUAUAUAGGAAGAUAAUGACGGUACUAUAUGAAUAAGCACCGGCUAACUCCGUGCCAGCAGCCGCGGUAAUACGGAGGGUGCAAGCGUUACUCGGAAUCACUGGGCGUAAAGAGCGUGUAGGCGGGUUAUUAAGUCAGAAGUGAAAUCCUAUGGCUCAACCAUAGAACUGCUUUUGAAACUGGUAACCUAGAGUAUGGGAGAGGUAGAUGGAAUUUCUGGUGUAGGGGUAAAAUCCGUAGAGAUCAGAAGGAAUACCGAUUGCGAAGGCGAUCUACUGGAACAUUACUGACGCUGAGACGCGAAAGCGUGGGGAGCAAACAGGAUUAGAUACCCUGGUAGUCCACGCCCUAAACGAUGUACACUAGUUGUUGCCAUGCUAGACAUGGCAGUAAUGCAGUUAACACAUUAAGUGUACCGCCUGGGGAGUACGGUCGCAAGAUUAAAACUCAAAGGAAUAGACGGGGACCCGCACAAGCGG
rnacentral:rRNA from 1 species